rfam:Myotis lucifugus cont2.206, whole genome shotgun sequence.
CAGGGGGAGGGGGAGGAUCCCUUAGCUUGGAUUGUGAGAGGGCGCAGGCCAGGCCAAGGGACCCCACUGGUGCACG